GAAAUGCGAUAAUUAAUGUGAAUUGCAGAAUUCAGUGAAUCAUCGAGUCUUUGAACGCACAUUGCGCCCCCUGGUAUUCCGGGGGGCAUGCCUGUCCAAGCGUCAUUGCUGCCCUCAAGCACGGCUUGUGUGUUGGGCUUCCGUCCCUGGCAACGGGGACGGGCCCAAAAGGCAGUGGCGGCACCAUGUCUGGUCCUCGAGCGUAUGGGGCUUUGUCACCCGCUCCCGUAGGUCCAGCUGGCAGCUAGCCUCGCAACCAAUCUUUUUAACCAGGUUGACCUCGGAUCAGGUAGGGAUACCCGCUGAACUUAAGC
rnacentral:misc_RNA from 1 species